UGAGGAAUAUUGGUCAAUGGACGGAAGUCUGAACCAGCCAAGUCGCGUGAAGGAUGAAGGUUCUAUGGAUUGUAAACUUCUUUUAUUCGAGGGUAAAACAGCGGACGUGUCCGCUCUUGCAAGUAUCGAAUGAAUAAGCAUCGGCUAACUCCGUGCCAGCAGCCGCGGUAAUACGGAGGAUGCGAGCGUUAUCCGGAUUUAUUGGGUUUAAAGGGUGCGUAGGCGGGUUGCUAAGUCAGUGGUAAAAGCGUGUGGCUCAACCAUACCAAGCCAUUGAAACUGGUGAUCUUGAGUGUAAACGAGGUAGGCGGAAUGUGACGUGUAGCGGUGAAAUGCUUAGAUAUGUCACAGAACCCCGAUUGCGAAGGCAGCUUACCAGCAUACAACUGACGCUGAGGCACGAAAGCGUGGGUAUCAAACAGG
rnacentral:rRNA from 2 species